GCAGGAUAAAAGAUCCAUACUUCUUUCAUACAAUUGCUUUUAUCAUCAUGUCCUACUCGAUAUCAACCUUAACAAUAGUCGAAUCGAGGUUUAUGACUCACGAAAGAGGCCAUUAUCACUAAUCCAGCCCGUCAUUGAUGUCGUCAACAAGGCCUUCGCUAAGUACCA